AACGAACGCUGGCGGCGUGCCUAACACAUGCAAGUCGAGCGUGAAAGUUCCUUCGGGAAUGAGUAAAGCGGCAGACGGGUGAGUAAUACAUAGGUAAUCUACCUUCGAGAUUGGGAUAACCCCGCGAAAGUGGGGCUAAUACCGGAUAAGACCACGUGGCUCAAGUCGCGUGGUAGAAGGUGGCUUGUUUUUAAAUGAGCUAUCACUUGAGGAUGAGCCUAUGGCCUAUCAGCUUGUUGGUGAGGUAAGAGCUCACCAAGGCUAUGACGGGUAGCUGGUCUGAGAGGACGACCAGCCACACUGGGACUGAGACACGGCCCAGACUCCUACGGGAGGCAG
rnacentral:rRNA from 1 species